rnacentral:rRNA from 1 species
AUUGAACGCUGGCGGCAGGCUUAACACAUGCAAGUCGAGCGAGCGGCGGACGGGUGAGGAAUGUCUGGGCAACUGCCUGAUGGAGGGGGAUAACUACUGGAAACGGUAACUAAUACCGCAUACCAUCAUCUGAUCCCAGAUGGGUUAAGCUAGUGGGUGUGGUAAUGGCUCACCUCGGCGACGAUCCCUAGCUGGUCUGCUAGGAUGACCAGCCACACUGGAACUGGGACACGGUCCAGACUCCUAGGGGAGGCAGCAGUGGGGAAUAUUGCACAAGGGGCGCAAGCCUGAUGCGGCCAUGCCGCGUGUGUGAAGAAGGCCUUCGGGUUGUAAAGCACUUUCAGCGGGGAGGCGUUACUCGCAGAAGAAGCACCGGCUAACUCCGUGCCAGCAGCCGCGGUAAUUC